AGGGCUGUACAAAAGUUCCAAAAGGCAACGUUUCUCAACUUCGGUAGCUUGAAGAUGUGGGGAUUCCAACUCCCAUAAUUUCUGGGAAUUGAAGUCCACACAUCUUCAGAUGGCUACGGUUGGGAAACCCUAUCUUAAAAGAGAUUCUCAAGCCUCUAAGCUCUGUUGACAUAGCAAUUUAUACCAAAUUAUGAUA